UACGUAGGUGGCGAGCGUUGUCCGGAUUAACUGGGCGUAAAGAGCGCGCAGGCGGUCGUACAAGUCGCGUGUGAAAGCCCCCGGCUCAACUGGGGAGGGUCACGCGAUACUGUUCGACUCGAAGGCAGGAGAGGGUAGUGGAAUUCCCGGUGUAGUGGUGAAAUGCGUAGAUAUCGGGAGGAACACCAGUGGCGAAGGCGACUACCUGGCCUGUUCUUGACGCUGAGGCGCGAAAGCUAGGGUAGCAAACGGG
rnacentral:rRNA from 1 species